rnacentral:tRNA from 1 species
AGGCUUGUAGCUCAGGUGGUUGAGCGCACCCUGAUAAGGAGGUGAGGUCGGUGGUUCAAGUCCACUCAGGCUACCA